rnacentral:rRNA from 1 species
UACGGAGGACCCAAGCGCUAUCCGGAAUUAUUGGGCGUAAAGCGUCCGUAGGUGGUUGGCCAAGUCUGCUGUCAAAGGGUGGGGCUUAACCUCAUAAAGGCAGUGGAAACUGGCGAGCUAGAGUGCGGUAGGGGUAGGGGGAAGUCCCAGUGUAGCGGUGAAAUGCGUAGAGAUUGGGAAGAACAUCGGUGGCGAAAGCGCCCUGCUGGGCCUGCACUGACACUGAGGGACGAAAGCUAGGGGAGCGAAAGGG